ACCGUAAUGUGACUAAUGAUGUGGUGAAAGUCCUCAUUGGCUUGUAGUUCUUUGAUGGACAGUUGUUGGUAUGAUUAUGACCAGGGAUUAUUCGGUAUAAUCAUGACCAUUAAUGAUUACAUGAAUAUCCUUGGUCGUGAUGCAGGGAUGAUUCGAUUUUAUUUAUUAAGCUGAGUCUCAACGAUAAAGUUGAUGAAAAACUUUUUAAAUCAUAG
rnacentral:lncRNA from 1 species